UGGGGAAUCUUCCGCAAUGGACGAAAGUCUGACGGAGCAACGCCGCGUGAGUGAAGAAGGUUUUCGGAUCGUAAAACUCUGUCUUUUGGGGCGAACGUGAGUAUGGUGAACAAUCAUAGUCAGUGACGGUACCAAAGGAGGAAGCCACGGCUAACUACGUGCCAGCAGCCGCGGUAAUACGUAGGUGGCAAGCGUUGUCCGGAAUUAUUGGGCGUAAAGAGCGCGUAGGCGGGAUAGUCAGUCUGUUGUAAAGUGCGGGGCUCAACCCCGUGAUCGCAAUGGAAACAGCUAUUCUUGAGUGCAGGAGAGGAAAGGUGGAAUUCCCAGUGUAGCGGUGAAAUGCGUAGAUAUUGGGAGGAACACCAGUGGCGAAGGCGACUUUCUGGACUGUGUCUGACGCUGAGGCGCGAAAGCCAGGGGAGCGAACGGGAUUAGAUACCCCCGGUAGUCCUGGCCGUAAACCGAUGGGUACUAGGUGUGGGAGGUAUCGACCCCUUUCCGUGCCGGAGUUAACGCAAUAAGUACCCCGCCUGGGGAGUACGGUCGCAAGACUGAAACUUAAAUGAAUUGACGGGGGUCAUAGCUGUUUCCUG
rnacentral:rRNA from 1 species